rnacentral:rRNA from 1 species
AAUAGAUACCCAGGUAGUCCACGCCGUAAGCGUUGGAUACUAGGUGUGGCGGUUAUACCAAUGACUGCCGUGCCGAAGCUAACGCAUUAAGUAUCCCGCCUGGGGAGUACGGCCGCAAGGCUAAAACUCAAAGGAAUUGACGGGUCCCCGCACAAGCGGCGGAGCAUGCGGCUUAAUUCGAUGCAACCCGAAGAACCUUACCUGGGUUUGACAUCACGGGAAAAGCUGUAGAAAUACAGUGUCCAUUAGGGCCCGUGACAGGUGGUGCAUGGCUGUCGUCAGCUCGUGUCGUGAGAUGUUGGGUUAAGUCCCGCAACGAGCGCAACCCUUGUCCUAUGUUGCCAGCGGUUCGGCCGGGGACUCAUAGGAGACUGCCGGGGAUAACUCGGAGGAAGGUGAGGACGACGUCAAGUCAUCAUGCCCCUUAUAUCCAGGGCUGCACGCAUGCUACAAUGGCCGGUACAACGGGCAGCGACCCCGCGAGGGUGAGCGAAUCCUAAAAGCCGGUCCUAGUUCGGAUUGAAGUCUGCAACUCGACUU